rnacentral:rRNA from 1 species
UACGGAGGGAGCUAGCGUUGUUCGGAAUUACUGGGCGUAAAGCGCACGUAGGCGGGUCUUUAAGUCAGGGGGGAAAUCCUGGAGCUCAACUCCAGAACUGCCUUUGAUACUGAAGAUCUUGAGUUCGGGAGAGGUGAGUGGAACUGCGAGUGUAGAGGUGAAAUUCGUAGAUAUUCGCAAGAACACCAGUGGCGAAGGCGGCUCACUGGCCCGAUACUGACGCUGAGGCACGAAAGCGUGGGGAGCAAACAGG